GCAGCUAAUUGCAAUGACGGGGAACCUGUGCUGGUAAAGGCGAUGGUGUAGAGAUUGUGUGUGGUAUCGAUAGUGUAGAGAUUGUCUGAGGUAUCGAUAGUGUGGAGACUGUUUGAGGUAUCGAUAGUGUGGAGACUGUGAGGUAUCGAUAGUGUAGAGACUGUGUGAGGUAUCGAUAGUGUAGUGACUGUGUGAGGUAUCGAUAGUGUAGUGACUGUGAGGUAUCGAUAGUGUAGAGACUGUGAGGUAUCGAUAGUGUUGCUGCAGCAGGAGCUGUUCCUUCGUUUGGGCGAAUAAGUCCAGUGUUGGAGGACCUAUGGAAAGGAGGGUCUUUCUCAGGCCUGAUCAGCCUAGAGGGAGGUGGGUUAGCUUGGCUCCACGGCAAGUGGGUUUUUGUGUUCGUUUUCUGUUUUGUUUUAAACCACCUCUAGCCGCGCUGGGGCUCACGUGCCCUUGCCCUCACACAAACCACACGGAGAUACCAGGAGUAGGAAGCACCAGCCAGUAUAUUAUGAAAAAAGAGAAAUAAAAUACAAAAAAA
ensembl:lncRNA